rnacentral:rRNA from 1 species
AUGGGCAUGCGGCGCAUUAGCUAGACGGCGGGGUAACGGCCCACCGUGGCGACGAUGCGUAGGGGUUCUGAGAGGAAGGUCCCCCACACUGGUACUGAGACACGGACCAGACUCCUACGGGAGGCAGCAGUGAGGAAUAUUGGUCAAUGGGAGAGAUCCUGAACCAGCCAAGCCGCGUGAGGGAAGACGGCCCUAUGGGUUGUAAACCUCUUUUGUCGGAGAACAAAACCCGGGACGUGUCCCGGACUGCGCGUAUCCGAAGAAAAAGCAUCGGCUAACUCCGUGCCAGCAGCCGCGGUAAUACGGAGGAUGCGAGCGUUAUCCGGAUUUAUUGGGUUUAAAGGGUGCGUAGGCGGUCUGUUAAGUCAGCGGUAAAAUUGCGGGGCUCAACCCCGUCGAGCCGUUGAAACUGGCAGACUUGAGUUGGCGAGAAGUACGCGGAAUGCGCGGUGUAGCGGUGAAAUGCAUAGAUAUCGCGCAGAACUCCGAUUGCGAAGGCAGCGUACCGGCGCCAGACUGACGCUGAGGCACGAAAGCGUGGGGAUCGAACAGGAUUAGAUACCCUGGUAGUCCACGCAGUAAACGAUGAAUGCUGGUUGUCCGGGUCGAAUGAGACCUGG